UAUACGCUGGGAGGCUGUCAUUGGCAUGGUUGCCAGACUGGGGUGUAAACACAGCAUGACACCUGUUCAGUCUGUUACCUGGGAGCUGAAUGGAACACAGAUAGUUUAUAAGGACAAGGCACAACAAAAAAUUAUGGAAGGAUACGAUUUGAAAGAAUCCGAAGGAAACGUGUACCUGAUCAUCAAGAACGUAAAGGAGAGUAAUGCUGGGAAUUACGUGUGCAGCGUUUUUCAAGUUGAAGGCGGAUUUGAACAAGUACAUGGGAAACUGCAUGUGAAAGCUUUCAGUACCAUGAUACAAAGCUCAUUAGCAGUGAUCUUAUCAGGACUGCUUCUUCACAUGGUUCUCCUGCAUCUUUAGAUACACUUGCCAUGUCCCGCUGACAGUGCAUUGGAUGGGCGGGCAGUGGUACGGUCCACAGCAAACAUUAAGAUGUCUGGCUAGCCUUCUUAAUUUCUCUCUCUCUCUCUCUCUCUCUCACUCCCACACACACAGUUUUGUGCAUUGUCAUUGACUGUUAUGGUUGAUAAUAUUCAGGGCCAUAGCUAGGGAGUUCUGGACCCCCUGAAAAAAUAUUGAUGUGGGGCCCCCACCACCCUGCGCCCAUAUUGUAUACAGUAUGGAGGCCCACAUCUACGGUGCCAUAGGGACCCUCUAACUCAUCUUUGGAAUGGGGUUGCGGGUCAGAUGACGCGAAAGUCAAAUCUGUUGGUGCAGAACAUAUUUUAAAAGUUUAGCAUAGUCGAUUUACUUGUAACAUAACAUGGUAAUGAUGUUAACACUUUUAUUUCAAAAGUUAAAUGUUUGUUUUGAUGUAAUAUUUAUACAAUGACAUUAAGUCAUUAAUAACUUCUUAUGAAACAUAGUUUAAAGUCCUCAAGCAAUUAUUCAAGACAAACUAAUAAAAUAAAAGACAAGAAAUUAAUAAAAUAGUGAAAUGAAUUAAAGUACCAACAAUAUGUCUUUCCAGUCAGCCUGGUGUCUGACAGCUGAAGUAAAGAUUCAGAAAUUGAUAAGAAUUGAGUCAAAUGGAAAAUAAAACCACUUAAAUUACUCAUUGCCUUCAUUUUUGAUGAAGAUAACGUUACCGCAGAAUAUAUUAUUUAAAUAAAGCUAAUAAAUGUAUCCAUCCAAGAGAAGCGAGUUGUAUUUGCGUUUUCUUGACAGUAUUGUUAUGGUGCAUAUCCAGUUUUUCCGCAUUAUAAAAACCAACUUUAUUUACAUAAUAGUGCAGAAAGGUGGGGACUUUGUAUAUCGUUCGGUGAGCGUGCCAGGGGCAUGGAAAGGAGCAGCGGGCAGCUCUUAUUAGGUGUCCUGUUCUCACGAAAGUGUAAAAUAAGACGGAGAAAUUAUCUGCUCACAGCAUCCCGUCUCAUUGACAUCCCUACAGUGCACUUACCUGUCUUCCUAAAGAAGGUCUUUAUAGACGGAUCCAGCAGUUCUCCUGGCCUCCUCCUUCUUUUCAUUACUUUUCUGGUACCCAGAUUUAUGUCUCUCCCCCCCCCCCGACAUUUUCAAUCACCCAGUCUGCUGUUCUCCCACUGUAGCUUCACCUCUAACUUUAACUCUUCUCAGAUCAGCCUCGACUCUCGAUUGGUGAUGUUCACUAGCUGGGGUGGGACUUACCAUUUUAUUGGGUCCCUCUGCUGUUUGUCACUGACUAAGCUGAACUAAUUAACCAUCGGACUGAAUCAUUUUUAGGGAGAGGAGAUAUUUGGAAAACUUCUUUCACAAAAUUGCAUGUUUUUGUGGUUUUCAUUAAACUCUCAGCCAUACAAGCUGAAGCUGUAUAGUGGGGCCCCUAUAAUUGUCAUCAACUUUCACCCCACUAGCAAUGGCCCUGAUAAUAUUUACACAUAAGUCUGCAAGUGAGCUCAAGAAAUGGCAAACUAGCUUGCAGAUUAGCUUGCUUACAGUGAAUGGGUUUCAUUUUCUUCUCAUAAAAACAUUCCCAUUAGGGGUGAACCAUAGUGGCUUUGAUGGUUUUCAUCAAAGCUGUAAUAUACAGUAAAUUACAUUUAUAUGUAUAUAAAACCUUUUUCAAAACAUGUAGAUAAGUAUCUGUUUCUGGUACAUUUUCACAGAAUGUGUGCAUACUCUUGUCAUUCGUGCCGUUGUUGAGAAAGAGUGCUGUGUAACACUAACAGUAAAUUGAAUGGCAUGUCCAGACAGGGAAAAGUGUUAAGGCUUUAUGAGAAGCUGUACUGCUAAGGGAAUGUCCCACUGCAUGUACAGAAUGUUAAUGGAUGUGUUUUUAAUGGUGUACAAAAGAGCCAUUAGGCGCAGGAUCCUGUGCAGUUUAUCACAAGACACUUGGGUUCCUGGCUUCACUGACGGUGCAGUUGAUGGAACCACGGCACAUGUCAGCAGGCCGAGAGCAUGUAGGUUUUAGAGCCGCCUCGUGUUUCCAGGUUCUACCUCCAGCGUUGAAAUGCGGCUCUCGACACUAUAAAAGUGCCUCGGCCCACGUGCUCAGACUUGUGGUUUCACACCCCCUUGAACGUUUAACGCCACAAGUUACUUCAGCAUGUUACUUGAGAAUCAGAAAGAGGUAACGGAGCUUUUAGCGCCUUUACUGUCCAGCCAAGACUAGUUUCAGUUGCUUUUGCUUCUGAAGCAUCACUGGCCAUGUUCAGGCUUCUCCCAUUUCAAGUUUGUCACUUUAGCCUUAGCUCUCCCCCCUCUGCUGAGUGCAAGGAGACGUUGGAUGAUCAAGCCACAGUGUGAUUCCCCUAAACUUCUCUGAGCAACUUCCUCCAUGGCCUCUGCUUGUAUGUCCUUGAAUAGGACACACUGCUCACUUUUGAUUUCAUACCUUUACAAAAAUGAUUUCCAACGUCCCAAAAGUCAAGGGGGUCAGUGCUUCAGAAGUACUACCAUCCUAUGACAACUUUUUUCAAGCUUAAUGUUUGUCAUAUUUAUUUUAAAAUUUCUGCAUAAAGUUAAAAAUUCUAACGUGGAUAUAAGACCAUCUCAACCUUACACCAGUCGGUGCAGUAUUACCCUGAUUCAAUGGUUACCCUGUUCUCUUGCUUGCCAGUGGUUGCCACUUGAGUUCAGGAUAAUUUUUUUUUUUGCUUUGUUUUUCCCGUUUCACUUUUGUACUGUAGCAGUUGCAUUUUAACUCAGUUAAACUUUUUGUUUCAAUGGCACAUUUAAUUAUAUGUAGCUGCAAUACAAGCUUAACCACUUACAGUAUAAUGUAUUGUAUUUCAGCUUGCUACUGCUGACUCCCAUUUUUAAUGUCAUUUCAUAAAUGUAUCUAAUAAAACUCAAAUCUUAGAGCAGCGUGAC